rnacentral:rRNA from 1 species
AAUGAACGCUGGCGGCAUGCCUAAACACAUGCAAGUCGAAACGAGACCCCUGACUUCGGUUGGCGGGUCUAGUGGCGCACGGGUGCGUAACGCGUGGGAAGUCUGCCCUUAGGUCCGGAAUAACUCAGGGAAACUUGAGCUAAUACCGGAUGAUGACGUAAGUCCAAAGAUUUAUCGCCUAAGGAUGAGCCCGCGUAGGAUUAGCUUGUUGGUGAGGUAAAGGCUCACCAAGGCGACGAUCCUUAGCUGGUCUGAGAGGAUGAUCAGCCACACUGGGACUGAGACACGGCCCAGACUCCUACGGGAGGCAGCAGUGGGGAAUAUUGGACAAUGGGCGAAAGCCUGAUCCAGCAAUGCCGCGUGAGUGAU